rnacentral:rRNA from 1 species
GACGAACGCUGGCGGCGUGCUUAACACAUGCAAGUCGAACGGAAAGGCCCUGCUUUUGUGGGGUGCUCGAGUGGCGAACGGGUGAGUAACACGUGAGUAACCUGCCCUUGACUUUGGGAUAACUUCAGGAAACUGGGGCUAAUACCGGGUAGGAGCUCCUGCUGCAUGGUGGGGGUUGGAAAGUUUCGGCGGUUGGGGAUGGACUCGCGGCUUAUCAGCUGGUUGGUGGGGUAGUGGCUUACCAAGGUUUUGACGGGUAGCCGGCCUGAGAGGGUGACCGGCCACAUUGGGACUGAGAUACGGACCAGACUCCUACGGGAGGCAACAGGCGGGAAUAUGGCACAAUGGGCGGAAGCCUGAUGCAGCAACGCCGCGUGCGUGAUGACCGCCUUCGGGUUGUAAACCGCUUUCGCCUGUGACGAAGCGUGAGUGACGGUAAUGGGUAAAGAAGCACCGGCUAACUACGUG